rnacentral:rRNA from 1 species
UGGGGAAUAUUGCACAAUGGGCGCAAGCCUGAUGCAGCCAUGCCGCGUGUGUGAAGAAGGCCUCGGGUUGUAAAGCACUUUCAGCGAGGAGGAAGGUGGUGAGCUUAAUACGCUCAUCAAUUGACGUUACUCGCAGAAGAAGCACCGGCUAACUCCGUGCCAGCAGCCGCGGUAAUACGGAGGGUGCAAGCGUAAUCGGAAUUACUGGGCGUAGAGCGCACGCAGGCGGUUUGUUAAGUCAGAUGUGAAAUCCCCGGGCUCAACCUGGGAACUGCAUUUGAAACUGGCAAGCAGAGUCUCGUAGAGGGGGGUAGAAUUCCAGGUGUAGCGGUGAAAUGCGUAGAGAUCUGGAGGAAUACCGGUGGCGAAGGCGGCCCCCCUGGACGAAGACUGACNCUCGGUGCGAAAGCGUGGGGCAGCAAACAGAUUAGAUACCCUGGUAGUCCACGCUGUAAACGAUUCGA